rnacentral:tRNA from 1 species
GCCGGUGUGGCUUAGCUGGUUAUAGCGCCAGACUCAUAUUCUGGAGGUUCGAGGGCUCAAAUCCCUCCACCGGCA